rnacentral:rRNA from 1 species
AUUGAACGCUGGCGGCAUGCCUUACACAUGCAAGUCGAACGGCAGCGGACCUUCGGGUGCCGGCGAGUGGCGAACGGGUGAGUAAUAUAUCGGAACGUACCUUUCAGUGGGGGAUAACGUAGCGAAAGUUACGCUAAUACCGCAUAUUCUGUGAGCAGGAAAGCAGGGGAUCGCAAGACCUUGCGCUGAUUGAGCGGCCGAUAUCAGAUUAGCUAGUUGGUGAGGUAAAGGCUCACCAAGGCGACGAUCUGUAGCGGGUCUGAGAGGAUGAUCCGCCACACUGGAACUGAGACACGGUCCAGACUCCUACGGGAGGCAGCAGUGGGGAAUUUUGGACAAUGGGCGCAAGCCUGAUCCAGCCAUGCCGCGUGAGUGAAGAAGGCCUCGGUUGUAAGACUCUUUCGGUCCGGGAGGAAAGUACGCACAGGUUAAUACCCUGUGUGGAUGACGGUA